rnacentral:rRNA from 1 species
GACGAACGCUGGCGGCGUGCUUAACACAUGCCAGUCGAACGGAAAGGCCCUGCUUUUGUGGGGUUCUCGAGUGGCGAACGGGUGAGUAACACGUGAGUAACCUGCCCUUGUCUUUGUGAUAACUUCAGGAAACUGGGGCUAAUACCGGAUAGGAGCUCCUGCUUCAUGGUGGGGGUUGGAAAGUUUCGGCGGUUGGGGAUGGACUCGCGGCUUAUCAGCUUGUUGGUGGGGUAGUGGCUUACCAAGGCUUUGACGGGUAGCCGGCCUGAGAGGGUGACCGGCCACAUUGGGACAGAGAUACGGGCCGGACCAGUACGGGAGGCAGCAGUGGGGAAGAUUGCACAAUGGGCGGAAGCAUGAUGCAGCAACGCCGCGUGCGGGAUGACGGCCUGCGGGUUGUAAGCCGCUUUCGCCUGUGACGAAGAGUGAGUGACGGUAAUGGGUAAAGAAGCACCGGCUAACUACGUG